CCGGGCAAAAGCAACCUGUCUCCAUUGUCAUGAAAUCCAUCCGCUUGCCAAUCGGUGGCUCCGGGGAACACCAGCCUCCCUCCCCCUGCCCGGUCCUGGAAAAUUAUCAGGAUUAAAAAUAUCGAACCAGAUGCCUGGAUACAAAGUAACUAAAGCAGUGAAUUCUACAUACGGGACAAACGGAUUUAAAAACAAGUGUUUAAAUAUCAUCUAAAAAGUCAGGCUCCGUGAAGAUAAAAAAUGCUACCAAAUCACCCUCCAGAAAGAUGCACCGGAGACCUCUGCGGUUAAAUAACAUUUCGCGGAGCGUCUUUGUAAACCACCAAAUGAAUGAGUUGAGUUAUAGGCUCAGGUUGGAAAGCCCCCUGUUGGAAAGAUGUCGGUUCGUCCUCAAGCCAUUCAUGGAUUUGAUGCGAUUUCGAUUAAAUUCCCAAUGAGGUUGCCCCAGGCCUGCAGAGGAAGCGCUCGGAGCAUCCGCAAAACAGACGCUGGGAGCAAGGAGUUCCACGCCAGACCUGGGAACCCACCGAAACGCCCACGUGCGCCCUAAAUGCGGGGACACCUGAGCCGCACGAUGUUCGGUAGCCACACAGUGACCACAAGAUGCCGCCUCCACAGGUGGGAUGACAGCAGGACUGAUGAUCCGAUGUGCAGCCUGACCCCGCCGCCAGGUCCGCACCCACGUGGACGCGAUGGGCGCGCAAGCCGACGACACCCUAGUCCCCUCUGGCCCCGUGGGAACUGCAGGGCUUUUCGGAGACAGAUUCGCCUAUAAAUUCAGUAGCAGAG